AACGAACGCUGGCGGCAGGCUUAACACAUGCAAGUCGAGAGCCCCGCAAGGGGAGCGGCGGACGGGUGAGUAACGCGUGGGAACGUGCCUUUCGCUACGGAAUAGGCUCUGGAAACGGAGAUUAAUGCCGUAUACGCCCGAGAGGGGAAAGAUUUAUCGGCGAGAGAUCGGCCCGCGUUGGAUUAGGUAGUUGGUGGGGUAAUGGCCUACCAAGGCGACGAUCCAUAGCUGGUUUGAGAGGAUGAUCAGCCACACUGGGACUGAGACACGGCCCAGACUCCUACGGGAGGCAGCAGUGGGGAAUCUUGGACAAUGGGGGCAACCCUGAUCCAGCCAUGCCGCGUGAACGAUGAAGGCCUUAGGGUUGUAAAGUUCUUUCAGCUGGGAAGAUAAUGACGGUACCAGCAGAAGAAGCCCCGGCUAACUCCGUGCCAGCCGCCGCAGUAAUAC
rnacentral:rRNA from 1 species